UGGUGAGACGAUAUGUUCCCAGGAAACCUGAAGCAGAUCAAGAAGAAACUGGAGAAGAUGACAUCAUCACUCAUGUCAUGUACAGUUACAUCAAAAUAUUGAAUCAUCAACAGCGAAUCAGAUGAAGCAGAGUGAGUGAACCAGCUGAAGACGUCAGUUAUGAGCCAACAAUGAGGCCCAGACUUUAAACCAGAGCCAGACGGCAUCUACUCUUCACUGAAGUAGUCCACCAGUCCAACCACUGACGUCCAGCUGCUGGUCUCUAACUGGUCCCCCCAGCACCUCAAACCAGAGGACAUCCACAUGUUACAGAGAUAGUUGUAUUUAUUGAAAUACAUUUAGUAUUUGAAUGUGUUAUUUUCUAUAUCAGUAAUAAACAUAUUAGAUUGUUUUAUGUCCUCUAUAAUUUCGGUAUUUUUUUAUGUGUUGUUCUUGUUUUUCCUCGUGUGGUUCUUUGUGUC